rnacentral:rRNA from 1 species
GGCCGCAAGGUUAAAGCUCAAAUGGAUUGACCGGGGCCCGCACAUACCGUGGAGCAUGUGGUUUAAUUCGAUUCAACGCGAAGAACCUUUCCUGGUCUUGACAUCCACAGAACUUUCCAUGGAUGGACUUGUGCCUUCGGGAACUUUGAGACAGGUGCUGCAUGGCUGUCGUCAGCUCGUGUUGUGAAAUGUUGGGUUAAGUCCCGCAACGAGCGCAACCCUUAUCCUUUGUUUCCAGCGAUUAGGUCGGGAACUCAAAGGAGACUGCCAGU